AUACGAAGGGGGCUAGCGUUGUUCGGAUUUACUGGGCGUAAAGCGCACGUAGGCGGAUUGAUUAGUUAGGGGUGAAAUCCCGAGGCUCAACCUCGGAACUGCCUUUAAUACUGUCAAUCUCGAGACCGGAAGAGGUGAGUGGAACUCCUAGUGUAGAGGUGGAAUUCGUAGAUAUUAGGAAGAACACCAGUGGCGAAGGCGGCUCACUGGUCCGGUACUGACGCUGAGGUGCGAAAGCGUGGGGAGCGAACAGGAUUAGAUACCCCAGUAGUCC
rnacentral:rRNA from 1 species